GCAAUCAGUUCAUCCAGGUGUCAGUCAUCAGUCCUUAUUAGCCAAUCCUCAGAUCCCCAAACCAACCCAAAAGGGACUUAAUAGGUCUUGAGGCCUAGGAGCCGUCAGAACAUCAACAAAUGCCUGUUCCCACUCGCUCCCUGAGAAUUCUCCAGACAAUGAGCAGCUUUAUUCGCACAUGGGCUCAAUCGAUCAUUACACAGACUUUGUAGUCAGGAGCUGGCAGGAUGGCUCUUGCGUCACAAGGGGGGGCCCUGAUGGAUAAGAAGAGCUGCAGGGAGGAAGCGAUGUCGUGUGUGGGAUGAUGAAACUGUGGUCUGAAGCAGAAGAAUGGAAGCAACCGGAGAAACUCUCUCUGCUGGAUGUUUUGAUCUGCUGAUGGGAAAAAAUAAAUAAAUGGAGAGCAGAGAAGAAAGAGCCAGUUUUUUUAUUAUCAUUUAUCAUCCUGUGUGCAGCAUGAAAGGAUGGAGGGAUAGAAGAGAAGUUGAGACUGAAGACUGAAUCAUGAAAGGAAAAAGGAAGAAUGAAAUCUGCAGGAUGGGAUGUGACAUGUCCUCAGAGGAAGGAUGAAGUUAUCAAAUUAAAAGCCUGAUAUGAAAAGUAAA